rnacentral:rRNA from 1 species
AGCGUAGACGGCGAUGCAAGCCAGAUGUGAAAGCCCGGGGCUCAACCCCGGGACUGCAUUUGGAACUGCGUGGCUGGAGUGUCGGAGAGGCAGGCGGAAUUCCUAGUGUAGCGGUGAAAUGCGUAGAUAUUAGGAGGAACACCAGUGGCGAAGGCGGCCUGCUGGACGGUAACUGACGUUGAGGCUGAAAGCUGGGGAGCAAACA